AUACGGAGGAUCCAAGCGUUAUCCGGAAUCAUUGGGUUUAAAGGGUCCGUAGGCGGUUUAGUAAGUCAGUGGUGAAAGCCCAUCGCUCAACGGUGGAACGGCCAUUGAUACUGCUGAACUUGAAUUAUUAGGAAGUAACUAGAAUAUGUAGUGUAGCGGUGAAAUGCUUAGAGAUUACAUGGAAUACCAAUUGCGAAGGCAGGUUACUACUAAUUGAUUGACGCUGAUGGACGAAAGCGUGGGGAGC
rnacentral:rRNA from 1 species